GGAAGCUCGAAGUUACUCAAAGGAGAACCAACAGGCACCGACAUGUCACCAGAUUGUGUUACCUGAGUCCCCUUUUCCCUACACAAGUACAGAAUCGAUUCUCUACAAGGUAACCUGAGUCCCCUUUUCCCUACACAAGUAUAGAAUCGAUUCUCUACAAGGUAAGUUCCACGAUCCGUUCCUUUAUAUUUUACCCAAACUGCAAACCGAUUUCCUGCGCGACUUUGUUCUGCGCAUGGUUAUGAGUUUUUGCUAGUGCGAUUUUUUUUUCCAGUUCUCCAUAACUAGAGUGAUUAUAGGUUGGAUUAUCCCAUAAUCAAGCUCUGUGAAGAAGGAAAGUACAUAAUUCAAAUUAAGUGUUUGGAUGAAGAGAAAAUCCUAAACUAGCUACUUAGAUUUUGGCUAUUUGAGAAGUUAGCUAGUUAGUUACCUUGAAGUAAGUAACCGGCAUCACUAUGAUUUUAGCGCAUUCUAAUUAAGUUCUUACAUUAUAUCUUUCUCAUGUUAUAAUAUUAGGAUAUUAGUAAGUGUUUAUGAUAUUAUUAGUGUUUUUAUAUAAAUUUUCUUUUCCAUUCAGUUCAUGUUCUCUCCUUUCUGGUUUGUUCUUUGCCUUGCUUCUUGUAGGAUUUGUUUUAUAAAAUGUAGCUAUGAUUUUUUCAGUCCUGCAUAAUUCUCUAUUUUCCGACUCCAGCAAUGUUUACGAGUCACAUGAAUCUGAUACAUGUAGUCUUUUAAGAGAUGGAGUUACAAUUUUGUAUCAAGUUUAUUUGCUCUACUGUAACUAUUAUUAGAGUUCACACAAUGUCUUACCAGAAUUUGUUAGUAUAAAUUUAUACUUUCAUGUCUGUUGUUUUUCCAUUACAUAAACAAGUGUAGCUACGUUCAAAAUAUUCUCUGUUGAGAAGAGGAAGUGUGAGAAUAAGACCAGUUCUCUAUGUUCAUCUUAAAAAAAGAGUUGCCAAAUUGAAAUUUUGGUCUCUAACUUCUUUCAUUAAUUCUCUCUCUACUUAUAGGAUUUUAUUUACAAACUGAACUUUCUUUUUAAAGUUUUGGUUUUCAAAAUUGAAUGUUUGUCUUCCUUAUUGAUUAAUGGAUAACUAACAGUAUUGUCUGCAUGUAUUUAUUGUUUUCAAAGGAAGAAGAGUGGUCAGGGACCCCGGUAUGCGUAGUUUCGGAUUGAGGGUGGAGUUAUGGGGAUACCUUGUCAUAUCAGGUGGUUCUAUGGAGUAGUGUAAACGAGGUAUGUCACUACUAGAUGGUUGUGUUAAAGCUGGAAGAUUCUGCAAGUGGAGCUAGUCGGUGGUGGAUAGGAUGGCUAAUCCUCAUGUCUGGUAGAGUCAGUUUUUGAAUGCCCACCUGUUUAUCCUCAUGGCUGGAAGUGGCAGCUGUUGAUUGCCCACCAGCGUAUUGAGAGGUUGGCCUUUUUUGCAGUGCCAACAUGGUCCUAUUCUGGAACAGCGGCGUAAAGAAAAGCACAGGAUGUCCUGGAAUCAUGUCCACCGCUUGUCAGCACUGAGAGUUGAAGUAAGAUAUUGUAAAUAUCUUUGGUAAUCAUGAUGGUGGGAUUAUACCCAUGGCCUUCAACGUGGAUAUCCCUAAAUGGCAAACAAAACUUGGGAGACUCUAUCUUCUGCAGAACAUACCCCAUAAGGAUGUGGCAUUGUAACAGAUGAGAUGUGUGGUAUAGAAUCAUGGUGGCUUAAUAGUUGUUGUGGUGUUUAAAUCUCCUUGGAAAGAAAGGUUCAUAUGAACCUGCGCCCUAUACAUGAACCACAGGUAUGCAGAGCAGGGACAUACGUGGUAGCAAUUGGUAGAGGGAUAAGCACACGAGGCAACCACGUGGGUAUUCGUUUGGUGUGAAGUCAACAACACCUGCACGACUUGUCCUAUCUGUAUUUUAAUGUACUGCAUAAGCUGUUAGCAGGGAUUGAAGUCUGGAGCGGUGGACUAUAGGUGAUAUGGUAAGAUGGGCUUGGCUAGUUGUGAUGAAGGCACUGCAAUGACUGAGCUCGGUGCAAGUUGGAAUCGAGGAGCCCCAAGAUGAAGGCUAGGGUCGGUAUAGCGUAGAUAAGGAACGGUAUGGAGAAAGGGUAAGAGGUGUGCCAAAAUUCAUACACGGAUAAAUAUCCCAAAAGGAAAGAUAACGGAGGCACUUGCUGUGGAUGGAAAAUAGGUCCUGUGUGGUAGCUUAUGGUACACGAAGAAUUGGAACUGCUAGUAUUUCGUGAGCCCAAUUAGUGGAGACUUUUUAAAUAGGGUGUUACAGAUGUUGAGUUGAAUGGAAGAGGGGGAUGGUGUCUCCCAGUUAUGUUGCAGUGAAUUUCUUGGGCAGUAAUUGGUAGAGGACGGUAGAAGUUUUAAUAGCUCUAUCUAUUCUUAGUUUUUCUGUUGCUUUAAGUACUUUUUGUAUAUGGGUUGGGACACCCCUUAAGUGUCCCAGGUUUAAUUAAAUUAAUUCUUUGCUGAUAAAAAAAAAAAAAAAUUUAUUGUUUUCAAAUAUAUAAAUGUUUAUGCAUAUAUAUAUAUAUAUAUAUA
rnacentral:lncRNA from 1 species